UUACGUUCAAAGGGUUAUAUUAUAUUUAAACACAAAUCUUUAAGUAUAGAAAUUAUUUUAAAGCAUAAUAAGAACGGAACUCUUUUGGAAAAAUCGUUGGUGCGGAUAGCGUUAGCCAUUCAAUAAUGACGGGUCCUCAGACAAUUGCAGUUUAUGGUUUGAUUGGUAUUCUGAUCAUCGCAAUUAUAAUAAUUUCCAUCGUUCUUAUCGUCGGAUUGUAUAUUCAUGAUCCGCCCUGUAGCACAAAUGCAAAUGCAACUGAAAUGACAACUGAGCAAAACUAUUAAAAGAAGAGUGAGCGGAUGUAA